GCCCGGGUAGCUCAGGGGUAGAGCACGUCCUUGGUAAGGACGAGGUCGCUGGUUCAAAGCCAGUCUCGGGCUCCA
rnacentral:tRNA from 1 species